GUGCGCUGAUCAAAAUACAGAAGCUGCCUUUAGAAGACAUUGCUGCUACAGGGAGGAUUCACAGUUGAUUUAAAGUAUGCAGAUGUAUACAGUUUUCAUGCUGCUGGUCGUGGCUGUCGUCGCCAAUGCCAAUUUCAUCAUCUUUCCUAUAUCGGAAAAUGGAGAAUGCCCAGGGAAUUUAGUCAAAACCACAAGCGAUUGCGAUUUGGCAUGCGCGCGCACUUGCAAAAAUCCCGGGCAUCCGGCCUGCUUCCGGAUAUGCUGGCGUGAGUGUGUCUGUCCACCAGGUGCCCCACUGCUCGUGGACAAGGCAAACUGGAUUUGCGGCUCCAGCGCAGACUGUCCUAAGUAGUGAUUUCUGCCUGCUGGCAUUAAGCAUGACGCGUAAUGAAUCCCGAAGUUUUGAGAUGUGAUUCACGAUAAUGAAAAUA